rnacentral:lncRNA from 1 species
CGCGUUCAUCUGGAGAGGGAUCAGAGCAGGUGGGUCGCACCUGCCGUGCACGUGAGGCUGGUAGCUAGGUAGGUCCGGGUUAUCCACGAUUCCCGGGUCUGGUAUAACGGCGUAAACCAUCGGUGCAGAAGGAAGGUGAGCCUGCGACGUGGACGAUCUCUCCAUCGGCGCCGCUAGCCUCGGCGCCGCGACUGCUCGGUCGUGUCCGAAGUAAAUUCGUUUGGCUAGUUUAAGCCCGUCGUCCACCGCUCUUGCGAAAUCCUCCGCCAUCUCUCCGAUACAGACGGCGAAAGAAACGUUGUCUCGGGGGGUUGAUUGUCUCUUCUCUUUCGAAUCGUUGAGCUGAAUCGAUUUCGUUUGCUUUUUUUCAGACAGCGAAAUCACUUCAGAGCUGUGUCUUUUCCAGCGCAUUUACUUCACUAAAUUAAUUUUUAUAUAAUCUUGCAUUUUACUAAAAUACCCCUUUUAUUUUAGGCGCGAUCGAGAUCCAACGGUUGAGAGGCAGUUAAAUAUGCCGACAAGGUGUGCAAUCAGCUACGUCCGGUAUUCAUUUUUGUGAACGGGAUUUACAAAUUCGCGCGGACGAAUCGUUUCUCUCCACGUGGCAGCGGACCCAUUCCAACGAGAGUAGUUGAAGCUUUCGAUUCUUGCCUUUAACGUUCUUCAACGGUAAAAGCUCAUGGAUGCUUGUGCGCUCUCACGUGAUUAGCCCUUGGCUCAUGGGGCUUUCCAUGGGCUUAUUGGAGUCAAGUGGCGUAUUAUUGGUGUAAUGGUGUGUAUGAUUUCCUGAUCAUCAUUUUCUUUUUUCAAUUUAUGUGACUACAAUGCAAAUAGUUAACGUGAACUAUGAUCAAUCAGUGCCUGGAUUACACAUUUGAAGUUUGUAGAUCCAAUCACAGAAGACAUGAAGGUACUAUUUAGUACAAAAAUUCACAGAUUCUAAUUUCGCAUUCGGGAAGAAUGUCAAAUGAUACGAACGGUACUCUUUUUAGGUAACAUUAAGCGUUUUUUCUCCUGAAACUUUUAGGAUUUAUUGUUUCAUUAACUUCUGAUUUCAUUAAACAAAAAGAUAAUUUGAUUUCAUAAACAUUAAUUCUUGUUUUUCUUUUCACAACCUAGGCUAUCCUUACGUAAACAAAGGAGCUUUAAACCUAGUAGAUGGAUAUCAUAUGAUUAGCCAAAAAAGUGUUUUUGUAAAUGCAGAGAAGCUUUCUCCUACGUAUUUACAUUUCUGCUGCGCUCCUCCUUCACCGUACCCAAAGCUUGUAGCUCUUCCAUUAACCUUUCAUACUCACUUUUAACCUUCUCCAGCUCACUACUUAGAUUCAUCGCCUGUGCAUUCAGGAAAAACCAAACAAAUUUUUAUUUCAACUCAAAAGUAGAAUCCCAUUCAGCAGAAUAUGGAGGCUUUUAUGUCGUCGACAUAGGCCACCGAUGGAUGGAACUUGCCAUUACUAAGCAGCUUAAAAACCAAUUAAUAAUAAAUAGUUUAAUAACAGAGUACAACAAGACUCAAGGACACGCUAAACUGGCUCCACAUAUUUAAUAUUCCUUCUAAAGUAGGGUUGCGAUUUGGCAGGAACAACGGUAAGUCAAAACCACCAAAGUAAAUGAAAGAGACAGGCAAGUUGAUACAAAUAGGGUUAUUAAUGUCAUAAGGAUGUACCUUCAGUUCAAGGUUUUGACUUCGCACCCUGUGGUCCAAACAUCUGCGUAGAAGAGAUAUAUUAUAAAUGUCUGACAGAAAAAUCAAAAACAAACGCGGAUAAAUGAAAAUAUAUAUAUAUAUAUAUAUAUUACAUAAUUCAACUUACUUUGCUCGGAGCUUCUUGUUCUCGUCCAUCAACUUGGUAGUUUCACUAUCUUGUGACCGAGUUGCUGAUCCCUGAACAAACUUCAGAGAGUGUGCCAAACGAAUGAAGUUAGAGAAAACGGAAUAUGAGCACAAGUGGUUACAAACUAAAGUUACUAUCCUGUUUCUAUGUGGGCACAUUUGCGUGAGCUAUAUAACGCAUAAAGGAAGUGCUCAUAUUUAACUCUAGUUAGCAAUAAUAGUCAUGGGAUUAAACAUGUUCACCAGAAAAUUAAAGAGAAGAAAACAUAUGUUUUGAGGUACCUGUUCAACCCGAAUAUGCCCUGGGACAGAGAAGCCAUCAUUUCCCACUUUUCUUUUUGACGCUGCACUUGCAACAAGAUCAGGAUGCUCUUUCCUCUUCUCCAACACCACUGCAACAAUAAUGCAAACAUCACGUGUCAGCAUCAGAGAGAGAUUUCAGGAGUGCUGGAACGUGAUAUAUAGAGUAGAAAACGACGUCCAACAAAUGAACAUGUGAAAUUAAUCAUAAUAAUAGCAAGAGCACUCGUAAUCACUGUCUUAAAAGAGUGACAGUUUUCCAGAAAGAUAUUGUGUAUUGUGUUCUUCUAUUCUAACUCUUUAGUAGCAUUUUACCUGGCUCAGAUGAAACUCUAGGAAGAGAUGCCAAAUUUGCAUUAUGAAAAACUCCUGGGAAGCCUGGAGGAGGAUUUAUUGUUUGUCUGCCACUAUCUCCAGCAGAAUUAUUCUGGAACAUGUUGACAUUUGUCCUACCACCAGGUUGAAGAUUUUGAGGUGCCGUAGGACGACGCUUCUUAAGAUCUCGAUACCCAAUCAACACAGAAUGGCAGUUCCUAUAAAAGAAGUACAAUCAUUCGAAAGGGUAAAGAAACAAUGGGAAGCGAUACAAGCCAACCCAGAGGUAUUGGAGAAAAGGCAAAACGGAGGACUGAAACCCCAUGCUCAGCAAGCGAACAAGAAAUCGAAACUGUAAUAUUAUCUACUUUUGGCGAUCGAAUAGUUUAAGGUAGAAACAUAACAGCCACCAAAAAGAUAAAGGCUUAGGAGAUUACCAAUACUCCACUGUCAUUUCCUUUAAACGCUUUUCAAGUUUCUGAAGAAGGACGGUUUUCUCAAAAUCCUGCUUGUUGUGGGUUGGCUCAACAAAAUUAGCUUCUAGAUUUUCUAUUUUUAAACUCUUACACUCUUCAUCUUUAUGUAUUUUAAUCUGUCCUUCUGAUGUUUAUUAUAUUCUUUUGAUCUAACUAAAUACUGCAAUAAAUCCAGCCAUAUGACUUGGUUAAAUACAUUAUUAUAUGACGAGAUAAACGCUUUAAAUAUUAGAAAAUAUCUCACAUUCAGAAUCAGUAUUGACCCAUUUCUUGGCGUCGACACUUGAACGAGCUUCAUCUAUAAUCUUAUGAUUCUCCAAAUACUUCUUUGCUAUAGCAUUUGAACGUUGUGGAUGUAUCUUCUUGUUAAGUAUUGUCCUUAGCAUCUGCACACAAACACAAAAUAUAGAUAAAUGUGUCUGAAUAAUUUGAACAUCUAUUUAAUGGAUAUGUAGUACCUUUUCCAUUCUUGUAUUAGGCAAUGAAUCUCUAGACAAAUCAAGAAGAGGAGGUGGAGUUUUGAAGCCACUUGUGCAAACAAACAUUUUCUUGAGAAGAAAAGAGAGCGAUUUCUUCUUUCCAAUACUAACAUCUGUAUUAGUGGCAGUGAGAUCUUUGCUAGAAUCUGUGUCUUCUUCCUCUUCUUCCUUGGAGAUGAUAUUGUUUCCAAGUGUUCCAAUGGCUAAGAAGGUUUCUUCAUCUUGAGGCCAACUUUGGAGGUCUUUACCCAAAGCAGGCCCUGAUGAUUCUUGAGCUAUAUAUAUAUAUAUAUACAUCAUCAAACAGAUCAGUGCUCUAUGCAAAUAUUCUUAGUAUAAUAAUAGUUUUCACUUACAAGAAUCUGAAGCUGACUCAUGCUUCUUUCCACUAAGUCUUCUUUGAACCCAACUAAAAAUCUAUAUCCAAAUAAAAUUUUACAUAAUCAAAUAAAGAUAAACACAACACAAAUGUUGAGUUACUUCAGACAAAUAUGAAAACAAACCUUCAUGUUUCAAGAGAUAUAUAAAUAAGCACAUGUGUAUGUGUCCAAGAAAUUUUCUUUUUAUGUCGAUGAUCUUUGAUCUCCUUGAAUAGUAAUUAGCUUUAGAAGAUAAGAGAUGAUCAUAGUGGUCCCAUGUUUUUAAAGACACAGUAAACACAAAUCCCUGAAGCCAGCAAAAAGCCAGUUGGGUUCAAGUUUCUAUAAACUCCUCGAAACCAGUUUUCUUACAACUUCAAAGUCACCAUUUCUUCUAGCAUGAUCCCAUCUUUGUGGACUUUGUUGAAUGUUGGUUCACCAAAAUCACAUUCUUAUAAUAUAAAAUAUGGUUUUAAAAGAUCGAAAUCAAGUAACAAGUUGAAUGAAAACACAUGGAUUUGUCUGUUCUUUUACACUUUUCUCCCCUGAAAGCAAACUAUACAAGUAAAACUUUUAUAUUUCACCAAGCCGUAUAGAGUAAAAUGUACAAACUUACUGAAGCUGCUUCAUAAAGCUUUACACUCGAAAUUCAAAAUCAUAUUUUUUAAUUAUAACUAGUCGUCUCCACCACAGCAGACAUGUGAGCAACAUUCAAAGCAGGCAAUGCAAGCAAUCGCUGUGAAGAGCUGCGUAAAGACAAUGACACAUUGAUCAUUGAGCUUAGUGCAGCAUUGGACACAGCACAUGCAGCAGCAUUUGUUGCACAAGGAAACACAGCAGCUGGAGGCAGCCUUGACGAACUUCUCAGCAGCAUCAGGCGCUCUCGCUUCUCCAAAUCCUGGUGGAACAUUCUCUUUGGUAGCUGUUGUAUCACCAAAGCCUAUCCCAAAGUUUUGUAGUGGGAUUGUUCUUGAUACCACCUUCUGUUUCUCUCCGUUGGUUUCAGUCUGUUGAAAUAUUUGGUGAAUAUAUAAGUUUCAGAUAAGUAUGCUUUUGUUCAUAACUUCUAGAUAUGUAUAUAUAUAUACCUUUUUCUUUCCACCAGUGUUGAUGGGUUUGGAUGCUUCUUCUGUGUUCUCCAACUGGAUCAUUCGAGUAUACUCAGAUGGUACACCAGUUUGGAUGCUUAGUCUAGUAAUCUGAGAAGAAAAAAAGAUCAAACAAAAUGAAGAAGACAAUACUAAAGAUGGAAAAGUAUAAGAAAAACGAACCUUUUCUUUUAGCUGGUUGUCUUCAGAGAACCAAGCCUCAGCAGUAAGCAAGUCAAUCACAUUUUUAGCAAACACCUGAAACAGUUUGUUAAACACUUUAGAAGGAAGCACCCUUGGGAAUAAUAAUGAAAUGGAAGGUGAUGGAUGAUCUUUACUUUAUCAAGAGGCAUGUCUUUUGCACUUUGUACAGUCAAGUCUACAGAAAAGCUGCUCAAAUCUCCGAGCAGACCAUUUGCUUUCACACUCUCAGGGAACUUUCCUCUGUAUCUCCCAUACACCAUCAAUGGGCUUGAGGAAGUCAGAUCAGGAAUGUUUGAAGGGUACACCUAUUAGUAGUCACAGGUAAACACUUUCAGAUUUUGACAGAAAAUAUAAGCAAUGAAUCUUAGCAUAGAGAGACUCACCUCAACUUCAUCAAGAUUCUGCAGAGGCUCAAUUGUUAUAUUCAAAAGAACAGUGGACAAAGCCCUUGUAAACAACUUGUCUAACCGUUCCUCAAUGUGAUCUACAAAUUAAAAAAAAUGUUUUAAGAAAACUAUAAUUUUUCAUUCACCAUAUGGACUCACUCCAAGUAUAUUACCUGUAUUAUAAACUGAUUCAUGCUGUCCCCUGGAUAGAUUAGCAAGCAUUUGAAGGAAGUAGUGAUUACAGAACACACCUAAGUUCACAUAUGAAGAGGUCAAUAAAAAAAGAUAAUCCAAAAAAACCUUGGAGAAAAGAGUUUUUACCUAACCCAAAAGUGUGUAUCCGUGGCCACACUGAACCAGCAUUAGCAAGACGUUUCUUCAUCACAUUACAAAUGUGUCUCUCAUCUUCAACAGACCCAUCUGUUAGGGAGAAGAUCAUAGGAACGGAGCCGCGAGUAUUCGAAAGCAUUUCCACAGCCUGAUAAGUAUUGAGGAAGCUAUUAAUCACUAAAGUAUUAAGCUUUUUUUUUAAGCUACAAACAAGUGAGUGGAGGAAAGACCUUCUCUAGUGGAGGGAGCAUGUUGGUACCAUCUGCGACAACAAAGCUCUUGUUCAUCCACUCAACGCCUCUUUCAACAGCAUCUGGAGUAACCAACUCCAUCGACGUCGAAAACAGAGAAGUAUCAUCACUGAAAGUGAUGAUAUUGAAGGAAUCUUCAGGAUUGAGCUUAGAUAGAGCCGUUGAUAUCGCGUUCUUUACAUCCUCCAGAGGUUUUCCAGACAUGCUCUUACUUAUAUCAACAACAAAGACUACCUCCCGCUUGAAUGCCUUAAGUAGACAACACAAAAGAAACUUAAGAUUAAACUGCAAAUGGCAAUAAAGGCAACAUAAAAUUACAAAACCAAACCUUAGUACUUUGCUGCUUUCCUGGGAAAAGAUAGAAAGAGAAGAUAUCUCUCUGAUCAACAUCUUGAACAGACGCAGAUUGAAGGAAAAGUCCACCAACUAUACUACUUGAAGAGACCUACCAAAGUUAAAACAAAAGGGAUAAGCUCAAUGCAGAAGGCUAGGGCCUAAUGCGGCAUUGAGAGUUCAUACAUACCGUGUAAGAAAAGCUAAAAUCUGUGCUUGACCACUUCAAAACAUCUGCUUCAUAUGCAAACCUUAACUUCCCUGCGUUCCUCAUUUUUUCCUGUAAUACAUGAACAUAAAGACACAGCCUUGCAAUAUCAUGGAGCUUGUUCAGAAAGAUAUAAUGAACCACACCUUAAGUGGAUGACUGCAUCCUUUGCAUAGCACUUCUGUUCCAGUACCGGCGUUAACACUCAAGUGAAUCUUUUCUCUCUUGGAGAUUUUCUUAACCGCAGGAGUCACAUACUCUGGGAAGUUGAAUGGAAUGUCUAGAAAAAACUGGCCAUCGUUGUACGUUAGCUUCUGGGACCAAGACAUCUUGAUAGAGAGGUUGGUGCCUCCAUCAACCUGGAGCAACAAACAAAAAUAUAUAGAGAUAGUCAGAAAGAUGGAAAAAAAAAAACCAAAAUAUUAUAUAAAUAUUCAUAUUUUUCAGCUAAUGCAAAUGCAGUGUAUAAAACCAAAACUUGGUUUCAUUUUACCAUUAGAAUUUCUCAAAUCUUGAUAAUUACCUAAAAUAAAGUUGUAUAUCCUAUUGUAAACCUACCCCUAUCAAUAAUUUGAUUAUGAACAUAUUCUUAGUGACAGCUACAUAACAUCCAAAGAUAAAAUUUUAAAAAUAUCAAAGGUCCACAUCACCUGUGGUACUGUAAGAGUGAAUAUGUUUGGUUUCAAGAAGCCACCACUUUGAGGUUGUGCCGUUUUCUCCAGCUCGUUACCAUCUUGUGCUGUGAUCAGCUGUGUUGUGUAAGAUUUUCUAGGAAUCUCAACCUCAACACCUAGAAUCGAACCCUGUUUAGCCAUACAAUAUUAGUUUGAAAUCAAUAAAACAAUUCUGAUUCAUAGAAACUCUAACAGUGAUCUAAUUUCGUAACGAGAGGGAAAAAUUAAAAAAAAAACGAACCUUGUCUCCUAUAGGAAUAGCGAUUCUGCAAUCACAUUUUUUGCUUCCCAUGACGCAGUGAACACGCCACGAUCCGGUGACGGUGACGAGAGCCGUGUCGAGAUAGCAGUCCACGUGGAGCUCGAUCGCGUUCAUCUGGAGAGGGAUCAGAGCAGGUGGGUCGCACCUGCCGUGCACGUGAGGCUGGUAGCUAGGUAGGUCCGGGUUAUCCACGAUUCCCGGGUCUGGUAUAACGGCGUAAACCAUCGGUGCAGAAGGAAGGUGAGCCUGCGACGUGGACGAUCUCUCCAUCGGCGCCGCUAGCCUCGGCGCCGCGACUGCUCGGUCGUGUCCGAAGUAAAUUCGUUUGGCUAGUUUAAGCCCGUCGUCCACCGCUCUUGCGAAAUCCUCCGCCAUCUCUC